rnacentral:tRNA from 1 species
GGCCCUGAGGUGACUUAACACAUUGAAUUGCAAAUUCAAAGAAGCAGCUUCAAUUCUGCCGGGGCUU